GAUGAACGCUGGCGGCGUGCCUAACACAUGCAAGUCGAACGCUCGCAAGAGAGUGGCGCACGGGUGAGUAACACGUAGCUAAUCUGCCCUCAAGACAAGGAUAACUGUAGGAAACUACUGCUAAUACUUGAUAAGCUUACGGACUGUAGAGGUCUAUAAGAAAAGAUUUAUCGCUUGAGGAUGAGGCUGCGCGCCACACUGGAACUGAGACACGGUCCAGACUCCUACGGGAGGCAGCAGUAGGGAAUAUUGCGCAAUGGAGGAAACUCUGACGCAGCGACG
rnacentral:rRNA from 1 species